rnacentral:rRNA from 1 species
AUUGAACGCUGGCGGCAUGCCUUACACAUGCAAGUCGAACGGUAACAGGUCUUCGGAUGCUGACGAGUGGCGAACGGGUGAGUAAUACAUCGGAACGUGCCCGAUCGUGGGGGAUAACGAAGCGAAAGCUUUGCUAAUACCGCAUAAGAUCUACGGAUGAAAGCAGGGGACCGCAAGGCCUUGCGCGAACGGAGCGGCCGAUGGCAGAUUAGGUAGUUGGUGGGAUAAAAGCUUACCAAGCCGACGAUCUGUAGCUGGUCUGAGAGGACGACCAGCCACACUGGGACUGAGACACGGCCCAGACUCCUACGGGAGGCAGCAGUGGGGAAUUUUGGACAAUGGGCGAAAGCCUGACCCAGCCAUGCCGCGUGCAGGAUGAAGGCCUUCGGGUUGUAAACUGCUUUUGUACGGAACGAAAAGACUCUGGUUAAUACCUGGGGUCCAUGACGGUACCGUAAGAAUAAGCACCGGCUAACUACGUG